AGCGAACGCUGGCGGCAGGCCUAACACAUGCAAGUCGAACGAACCUUUCGGGGUUAGUGGCGGACGGGUGAGUAACACGUGGGAACGUGCCUUUAGGUUCGGAAUAACUCAGGGAAACUUGUGCUAAUACCGAAUGUGCCCUUCGGGGGAAAGAUUUAUCGCCUUUAGAGCGGCCCGCGUCUGAUUAGCUAGUUGGUUGAGGUAAUGGCUCACCAAGGCGACGAUCAGUAGCUGGUCUGAGAGGAUGAUCAGCCACAUUGGGACUGAGACACGGCCCAAACUCCUACGGGAGGCAGCAGUGGGGAAUCUUGCGCAAUGGGCGAAAGCCUGACGCAGCCAUGCCGCGUGAAUGAUGAAGGUCUUAGGAUUGUAAAAUUCUUUCACCGGGGACGAUAAUAACGGUACCCGGAGAAGAAGCCCCGGCUAACUUCGUG
rnacentral:rRNA from 1 species